rnacentral:tRNA from 1 species
GCUCCAGUGGCGCAAUCGGUUAGCGCGUGGUACUUAUACAGCAGUAUCCAGCAGAGUGAUGCCGAGGUUGUGAGUUCAAACCUCACCUGGAGCA